rnacentral:rRNA from 1 species
UCAGGAUGAACGCUGGCGGCGUGCUUAACACAUGCAAGUCGAACGGAGUUUUAACGGAAGUUUCGGAUGGAAGUUAGAACUAGUGGCGGACGGGUGAGUAACGCGUGGGUAACCUGCCUCAUACAGGGGGAUAACAGUUAGAAAUGACUGCUAACACCGCAUAAUAUAGCGAAACCGCAUGAUUUUGCUAUCAAAUAUUUAUAGGUAUGAGAUGGGCCCGCGUCUGAUUAGCUAGUUGGUGGGGUAAAAGCCUACCAAGGCGACGAUCAGUAGCCGGCUUGAGAGAGUGACCGGCCACAUUGGGACUGAGACACGGCCCAAACUCCUACGGGAGGCAGCAGUGGGGAAUAUUGGACAAUGGGGGAAACCCUGAUCCAGCGAACCGCCGCGUGAGUGAAGAAGUAUUUCGGUAUGUAAAGCUCUAUCAGCGGGGAAGAUAAUGACAGUACCUGACUAAGAAGCCCCGGCUAACUACGUGCCAGCAGCAGC